rnacentral:rRNA from 1 species
AUUGAACGCUGGCGGCAGGCCUAACACAUGCAAGUAGAACUAGUCGCGGACUGGUGAGUAAUGUCUGGGAAACUGCCUGAUGGAGGGGGAUAACUACUGGAAACUGUAGCUAAUACCGCAUACCAUCUGAUGUGCCCAGAUGGGAUUAGCGAUUAGGUGGGGUACCGCCUCACCUAGUCGACGAUCCCUAGCUGGUCUGCGAGGAUGACCAGCCACACUGGAACUGAGACACGGUCCAGACUCCUACGGGAUGCAGGAGUGGGGAAUAUGGCACAAGGGGCUCAAGCCUGAUGCAGCCAUGACGAAUGUGUGAAGAAGGCUUUGGGGUUGUAGAGUACUUUCAGCGGGGAGGCGUUACCCGUAGAAGAAGCACCGGCUAACGCCGUGCCAGCAGACGCGGUAAUAC